rnacentral:rRNA from 1 species
AGUGAACGCUGGCGGUAGGCCUAACACAUGCAAGUCGAACGGCAGCACAGUAAGAGCUUGCUCUUACGGGUGGCGAGUGGCGGACGGGUGAGGAAUACAUCGGAAUCUACUUUUUCGUGGGGGAUAACGUAGGGAAACUUACGCUAAUACCGCAUACGACCUACGGGUGAAAGCAGGGGAUCUUCGGACCUUGCGCGAUUGAAUGAGCCGAUGUCGGAUUAGCUAGUUGGCGGGGUAAAGGCCCACUAAGGCGACGAUCCGUAGCUGGUCUGAGAGGAUGAUCAGCCACACUGGAACUGAGACACGGUCCAGAAUCCUACGGGAGGCAGCAGUGGGGAAUAUUGGACAAUGGGCGCAAGCCUGAUCCAGCCAUACCGCGUGGGUGAAGAAGGCCUUCGGGUUGUAAAGCCCUUUUGUUGGGAAAGAAAAGCAGCAGGUUAAUACCCCGCUGUUCUGACGGUACCCAAAGAAUAAGCACCGGCUAACUUCGUG